GGGUUUUACAGUAGCCUAGAAGAAAAAUGUAUCUGCCAGAUAAACUUUAAUGCUGGAGGGAGACUCUACUUUCCAGCACAAGGCAUAAGCAUAGGAGAGGUGAGUGAUCAGAUCAAAGCUGGGGGCAUAACUGAGAGUGAGACAAGUCUGAGCAAGAGUGGGCUGGACACGAACAUGACGAGUAGUAGAAAAGAAGAACUAUCUCGAAACAGAAGCUGAGAAAUGUAUGUUAAGAGACAGACCACGCCUGGCUAAAGCUCUGGCUAGGGGCCUGAAACACUUAGCAGGGAUCAUGGAGGAGCCACUGCACAGGCAGCAGAGGUGUAAAGUAACGAAUUACUUUUACUCACGUUCCUGUAAUUGAGUAGUUUUUUUGUGUACUUUGUAAUUUUUAAGUAGUUUUUUAAAUCGGUAAUUUUACUUUUACUUAAGUAGAUUUUGACUGAAGUAUUGUACUUCGCUACAUUGGAAAUUACAUCCGUUACUGAGUAAAAAAAAAAACAUAGUUCAAGGCAGGAAUCGCGCACCACAAUGCUCACUGCAGUGGUGGAUGCUGCAUAGAGUGGAUGAUGGAGUCGAUGCAAGGCGCCAGUACGGUGCCGAGUCACGAGAGAUAGAUAUGGAGGAAGAUGAUAGUGCGAACUACCAACAAGCUGCGGACCACCAACAAGCUGAAGCACCGAACUUUCCGCCAGUUGAAAUUAAAGAAGAUGAAGAAAACCCGUGGCCACAUCUCAGCAAGCAGUUUGCCUUCCAACGUAAAAGAGGCAACAGCUAUAUGCUAUAUGCUAUAUGUAAACUGUGCCUAAUCCGUCAGUCAGAACUUUCUGCUUAUACAAAUUCAUCUUCAAAUCUGCGCAAGCAUGUGUUGGUCUAGUCUAUGUCAGACAACACCUUGACCGGAUGUUGGAGGCUGGAGCAAGUUGGACAACAUUCAUCAGAUGAAGAUGAUUUAUUUUCCUCAAUGAAGUCCAGAAGGUCAGAAGGUACAGGGGAGUUAGAAGGGUACCUAGCCUGUCUCAGUCAAUAUGGAUCUGCUGAACGCCUUUCAGAAUAUCAAAAAACUGUCCCUGAAACUCAAUACUGGCCUACCUGCCUCGGCCGCCUGCGAGCGACUCUUCAGCUGUGCUGGAUUGCUGUUCAAUGCAAAGCUAGCCCGGAUGAACUCUACUCAUCUUGAAAAUCAGCUGCUGCUCAAACUCAACAAGAAGUUUGUAGACUAAUGCUCUAAAGGUGGACACAAGUAAAGUAACCAAAGUUUAAGUGGGGCAGCGGUAUUUUAACUUUUUAUUUUAGCUGUCAUGUCUUGACAUGUCCUCCCAAAAGUUCUUAAAUGUUGUGUUGACAUGUUUAAUGUUUGACAUGUUUAAUGUCAUUGCACUUAUAUUUCUAAAGAUUCUCCUUUAAUAAAAAAUAACUAGUUUUUGUAUUGGAUUUAUGA
rnacentral:lncRNA from 1 species